rnacentral:lncRNA from 1 species
CAAUUGUGCAAAGUGUAAAAGCAAACCAAAUCAAACCCAAACUGAAAAUAUCAAAAUAGAAACUUCCAGGAAAAUGAGUAGACAUACUUUCCCCUAUUCCAUCCCCUAAAUGCAGCAAGACUUCCUGGACAAUAUAUAUAAAACAAACACACGAAGAUUCUGAAAGAUGGAGAGAAGAAGGCAGACCAAUGAGGGACCUCAGAAUUCAUGCAGUGAUGUGGUUGGGAACCACCCCGGGAGCCUGGACUUUCACCUCCACAUGGCAAUAACAAGGUGUGUAUUUCCCCUUCCAGCUGGGGAGGAUUUGUGGAGGCCUACUGGGGAUGCAGAGCUCCCAUCCCACCUAACAAUAAUGAGUAGCUCCCUUCUCCAACCAAAUGGAGCCUGUUUUGAGAACAUAGACUUAAAUGCCCACUUGGAAUUAAUAAAGUGAUGCCCUUGUGUACCCUGCCAGAGUGGUGUCAGAGCAAGCCAACUAAAACAAGGCUUAAAUAAGAUCCCAAACCACAGUACAUAUUGUCUAAACUAUCUAGGUUUGUUUGUUUGUUUGUUUGAGACGGAGUUUUGCUCUUGUUACCCAGGCUAAAGUGCAAUGGU